rnacentral:rRNA from 1 species
AGUGAACGCUGGCGGUAUGCCUAACACAUGCAAGUCGAACGGCAGCACAGUAAGAGCUUGCUCUUACGGGUUGCGAGUGGCGGACGGGUGAGGAAUACAUCGGAAUCUACUUUUUCGUGGGGGAUCACGUAGGGAAACUUACGCUAAUACCGCAUACGACCUACGGUUGAAAGCAGGGGAUCUUCGCACCUUGCGCGAUUGAAUGAGCCGAUGUCGGAUUAGCUAGUUGGCGGGGUAAAGGCCCACCAAGGCGACGAUCCGUAGCUGGUCUGAGAGGAUGAUCAGCCACACUGGAACUGAGCCACGGUCCAGACUACUACGGGAGGCAGCAGUGGGGAAUAGUGGACAAUGGGCGCAAGCCUGAUCCAGCCAUACCGCGUGGGUGAAGAAGGCCUUCGGGUUGUAAAGCCCUUUUGUUGGGAAAGAAAAGCAGCAGGUUAAUACCCCGCUGUUCUGACGGUACCCAAAGAAUAAGCACCGGCUAACUUCGUG